ACUAACCUUCUCCUCAGUGCAGCCACAUGUAAUGUUCACAUAAACACGACCACCACUGUUUGUUUGUUGUUGUUGUUUUUUUACCCGUUUCUUUCUUGGACUAGCCUGGCGGCAGAGAAAGUAGCCGUGUUACUUUCCCAGUGACAUGGAAGCUCUGCGUAAAGACGUGAAGGAUAAUCCGUCGUCAAAGGCUAAUCUUCUCUCCAAGCUUUUCUUCUGGUGGUUGAAUCCCUUGUUCAGGAUUGGCUACAAGAGGACGCUGGAAGAAGAUGACAUGUACAGGAUCCUCCCUGAAGAUGCGUCUGACAGACUUGGGGAGGAGUUACAGUGGUACUGGAACCAAGAAGUUAAACUUGCGGCACAAGAUCUACGCCAGCCUAAACUCACCAGAGUCCUCAUAAAGUGUUACUGGAGAUCCUACGCGCUCAUUGGAACAUACAUCUUAAUAGAGGAAGUCAUCAAAGUCAUUCAGCCGGUGUUACUUGGUAAGCUCAUUGAGUACUUUGAGAGUCCUGAUGCCACAGGCCCAACUGCAGUCUACAAGGCUUACAGCUACGCAGCGGGCAUCUGCCUGUCCACCGUCUGGAUGUCCAUCCUCCACCAUCUCUAUUUCUACCAGGUCCAAAGAGUGGGCAUGAAGAUCCGGGUGGCCAUGUGUCACAUGAUCUAUCGUAAGGCUCUCAGUCUUAACAACACGGCGCUGACGAAAACAACGACGGGACAAAUUGUCAAUCUGUUGUCCAACGACGUCAACAGAUUUGAUGAGGUAACUUUGUAUCUGCACUUUCUGUGGAUCACCCCCCUGCAAGCAGCAGGGGUAGUACUAUUGUUGAUGUAUUGGAUCGGCCCAUCAUGCUUUGCGGGAAUGGCCGUGGUCUUCAUCCUUCUACCACUGCAGACUAUGUUUGGUAGACUGUUUUCAACGCUGAGGGCUGACACUGCAGUCCUGACUGAUGACAGGAUACGCACCAUGAAUGAGGUCAUCUCUGGGAUCCGUGUUAUUAAGAUGUACGGGUGGGAAAAACCCUUCGCUACGCUUGUGGAUGAAGUCCGAAGAAUGGAAAUCGCCAAAAUAAUGAAAAGCUCUUACCUGCGUGGCUUGAACAUGGCAUCUUUCUUCGUGGCCAGCAAGCUCAUCAUGUUCAUCACUGUUUGCGUCUAUGUGCUGAUGGGUAACCAGCUGUCUUCCAGCGCCAUCUUCAUGGCCCUUUCCCUCUACAGCGCCGUCAGACUCACCAUCACGCUUUUCUUUCCCUCCGGCAUUGAGAAGGCCUCGGAGUGCCUCAUCAGCAUCCGAAGAAUUAAAAAUUUUCUCCUUCUGGAUGAAGUUGCUCCUCAGCAUCUGGGACUCCCGGUGGCCGAGAAGAAAGACUGCAUGUUGAAGAUUCAGGAUUUGACUUGCUACUGGGAUAAGAUGCAAGAGGCCCCAACCUUACAGAAUGUGUCAUUAACAGUGCGGCCUGAUCAGCUGCUUGCUGUGAUCGGCCCUGUUGCCUCAGGGAAGUCUUCGCUCCUCAGCGCCAUCUUGGGAGAGCUAAGCCCAGAAAGCGGCGUUGUCAAGGUUCGAGGGGAUCUGACCUACGCUUCCCAGCAGCCCUGGAUUUUACCUGGCACCAUCCGAAGCAACAUUCUUUUCGGCAAAGAGCUCAACCGCUUGAAGUAUGACAGAGUGCUGAGAGCCUGCGCCCUCAAGAGAGACAUGGAGCUGCUGCCAGGUGGCGACUUAGCAUCCGUCGGAGACAGAGGGGCCAAUUUGAGUGGAGGACAGAAGUCGAGAGUCAGCUUGGCCAGAGCAGUGUACCAGGAUGCAGACAUCUACUUGCUGGAUGAUCCCCUCAGUGCUGUGGAUGCUGAAGUCGGCAAGCACAUCUUUGAGGAGUGUAUUUGUGGCCUUCUGAAGAACAAGCCAUGUGUUCUCGUCACUCACCAGCUGCAGUAUCUGAAGGCCGCACAUCAAAUUGUAGUCUUAAAGGAGGGGCAAAUGGUGGCCAACGGGAGUUACAGUGAGUUGCAGAGCUCAGGACUUGACUUCUCCUCACUCCUCAAGAUGGAGGACAGCCAGGAGGAAAGACCGAGCACAACCUCGUACUGCCCCUCUAGUCUCUCUAACAAUUCUAUUUCAUCCAUGACGUCCCUGUCCGCCUCCUGCUACUCGCUGAUGGAGGAGACACUCACAUUCGCAGCGCAGCCCACGGAGGAAAGGCGCACGCAGGGACACAUCGGCCUGCAAAUGUAUGUGAAAUAUUUCAGAGCGGGCGCUAACUUCCUGCUUCUCUUCCUCCUCAUUCUCCUCAACGCUCUUGCACAGGUGGCAUUUGUGCUGCAAGACUGGUGGCUUGCUCAUUGGACUUCCGAGCAGCAGCUCGUCAACCGAACUCAGCCCCUCAAUGGCAGCCUCCCUGCACAGCUGGACCUUGACCUGUACCUAAGUGUCUACGCAGGUUUAACAGGUGCAUCCGUAGUGUUUGGCUUCAUUCGCAGCCUGGUCUUCUUCAACGUCCUGGUGAGCUCAGCCCAGAGCCUUCACAACCGCAUGUUUGACGCCCUCCUGCGGACCCCGGUGCACUUUUUCCAAAUCAAUCCAAUUGGAAGAAUCCUCAACAGGUUUUCCAAAGACAUCGGCUACCUGGACUCUCUGCUGCCAUGGACGUUUGUGGACUUCACCCAGCUGUUCCUUCAAGUCCUUGGCGUGAUCGUAGUGUCCGCCAUAGUCAUGCCUUGGAUCCUCAUCCCGUUUGUUCCUCUCUUCGCCUUCUUCCUGUGUCUGCGACGCUACUAUCUUCAGACCUCCAGGGACAUCAAGCGCUUGGAGGCAACCACAAGGAGUCCUGUCUUCUCCCACCUCUCUUCUUCCCUGCAAGGCCUGAGCACCAUCCGAGCAUUCAGGGCUCAGCAGAAGUUUCAGCAAAUGUUUGAUGACUAUCAAAAUCUCCACUCAGAGGCCUGGUUCUUGUUCCUGACUACCUCUCGCUGGUUAGCCGUGCGCCUUGAUGGGAUUUGUUCCAUUUUCGUCACCCUUACCGCCUUUGGCUGCGUUUACUUCAGUGAUGACAUGGACCCUGGUGCAGUUGGCCUGGCUCUGUCAUACGCUGUGACACUGACCGGCAUGUUCCAGUGGGGCGUCCGACAAAGUGCGGAGAUCGAGAAUAUGAUGACAUCUGUGGAGAGGGUGGUGGAGUACACGGAGUUGGAGAGUGAAGCACCCUGGGAGACAGACACGAAGCCGCCGCAUGAUUGGCCCAAGAGGGGCUCCAUCACAUUUGACUCUGUCAACUUCUCUUACAACGCCAGUGAACCUCUCAUCCUCAAGAACUUGACUGUGGUCUUCACAACCAGAGAAAAGGUGGGCAUUGUGGGGCGCACCGGUGCUGGUAAGAGCUCUCUGAUCUCGGCCUUGUUCCGCCUGGCAGAACCCGAGGGCAGGAUCAUGAUUGAUGGUUUCCGCACAUCUGACAUUGGUCUGCACACCCUCCGCCAGAAGAUGUCCAUCAUCCCACAGGACCCAGUUCUCUUCACGGGCACCAUGAGGAAGAAUCUGGACCCUUUCAGCCAGCACACAGAUGAGGACCUGUGGAAUGCACUCCAAGAGGUGCAGAUGAAGGCUGCGGUGGAGGAACUGCCCAAUAAACUGGAGGCGCUGCUGACCGAGUCGGGCUCCAACUUCAGCAUGGGCCAGAGGCAGCUGCUGUGUCUGGCCAGAGCCAUCCUACGCAAAAACCGCAUCCUUGUCAUCGACGAGGCCACGGCCAAUGUGGACCCAAGAACUGACAGCCUGAUCCAGCAGACGAUCCGGGGCAAGUUUCAAGAGUGCACCGUCCUCACCAUCGCUCACAGGCUCAACACCAUCAUCGACUGUGACAGAAUACUGGUCCUGGAUGCCGGUAAGGUCCACGAGUAUGAUGAGCCUUACGUGCUGCUCCAAAACCACGAUGGGCUUUUCUACCAAAUGGUACAGCAAACUGGCCAAGCCGAGGCCGCCUCACUGCUGAAUGCUGCCAAACAGGUGCACGAGAACAAAAAGCGGGAGCCGCGCCACCUCCAGGACGUCGUCUUUGAGACGUCUCUCUGACACUUUGGAGAGCGGCUUUGACCGCCGUCGCCGACCGAGCCCUACCGGAACUUCUCCAGCUUUUGGUGUUCCUUUUUCACGGAUGUCGCUAUCACUCAGGAACGCUACAUCCAGCACAACUGCUGUCUUCUGAUGAUUAUCAACUACCAGUAUGUCAGGCUCAUUGGCCACCACUCAUUGUCAGUCUGGAUCUGGAAGUCUGACGGGAUCUUGGCCUGGUUGUUCUCAACCACCUUUGGUGAGGUCUGCCAUCUUGAUUCUGGGACCGCCAGUCCACAUUUGGUACAGAUGUAUUGCUACUUAUUGCUACUUGGUUAUGCCGCUCCAUAUAUGCCUUGCCUGCCAACAUCUUACACCAUGCUGUGAUGUGCUGCACUGUCUCAGGGGCUUCUUUGCAUUGCUUGCGCCUGGGCUCCUGUCUGGUGUAGUACACCCCUGCCUCUUUUGAGCUUGUGUUUAGGGCUUGUUCUUGUGCUGCCAUGAUUAGUGCCUCGGAGCUGUCUUUCAGUCCUUCCAUCCUUUUCCAGCCACUGGUAUGUUUUCUCUCUCAGGCACUUCAAUUUGUUGCUGGUACAUGCGCCAUGCAGAGGCUCGUUCUUCCAUGACAGCCCAUCUGGCUCCUUCUCAAUACUGGGCUUCUCUCUCUCUUUCUCUCUCUGUAUAUGUAAGAACUAUAUUGUACAUAGAAUAAAACUGGCAUUCCUUGACUCAUCCUUUUGUCUUUCCUGCCUCGCCUUCAUCGAGUGACUCCAGCGAUGUGUUUUGAGCGCACUGUGCGACGUCUUUGCUUAAUUUAGCAUGUAAGCGGUACAAUGAUGACGACGCGCAAUUACUAUGUGAUUUUGUCAUUAGCGGCUCAAUUAGCAAGCGAGCUGCACAUAACUGCGGAUGGCGGAAUAGCUGAGAAUGGAUGAGCCGCACUUAGAAAAAUCUGCGCAUUUGGCUAGUGAAGUGUAAGACACACAUGCACACACACGCACACACACACAGGAGAGUUAGACAAUUCAUUAAAGCCAGCGAGUGUUGAGCCAGCGUCAUAUUAAAUGGUUACUUACUCUCAAAGAGCCCCCCGGGAGUUGAAUUGUUGCCCUGCAAAUAGAUUAAAGUUUACAUUGAAAAAGAGAAAUGGAAUUGGGGUGGUGGGUUGGGGGGGUUAAUCAAUAGCAUAAUGGGCCAGUGAGAAGGG